rnacentral:rRNA from 1 species
GUCGAGAAUCUUUCACAAUGGGGGCAACCCUGAUGGAGCGACGCCGCGUGGAGGAUAAGGUCUUCGGAUUGUAAACUCCUGUCAUGCGUGAACAAGGUUGCUUGGAUAAUACCUGAGCAAAUUGAUGGUAGCGCAAGAGGAAGAGACGGCUAACUCUGUGCCAGCAGCCGCGGUAAUACAGAGGUCUCAAGCGUUGUUCGGAAUCACUGGGCGUAAAGGGUGCGUAAGUGGCGUGGCAAGUCAGAUGUGAAAGCCCGGGGCUCAACCUCGGAACUGCAUCCGAUACUGCAAUGCUAGAGUACUGGAGUGGUGACUAGAAUUCUCGGUGUAGCAGUGAAAUGCGUAGAUAUCGAGAGGAAUACCAAAGGCGUAGGCAGGUCACUGGACAGUUACUGACACUGAGGCACGAAGGCCAGGGGAGCGAACGGGAUUAGAAACCCCUGUAGUCC